UAGAAAGUAGUUUAUUUUAAAAUAUUUUUUUUGUAAAAAAAAGAUCUCAAGUAAGAGUUGCUUUUAGG
rnacentral:tRNA from 1 species